UGCUGGUAAAUGUUUAAUAACUGUUGUGUUUUUUUUUUUUUUUAAAAGCUUGUCAUGUUUGCUGAUCUCUAUGGCAUAAAUACUCCCAUUGUGGCAGUUUUCAAGCUGACAACACCACGCCACUGAACAUGGACCGUGAAGUUGAGCUGAGAUCAUGCGUAGAAUUGAUGAGCUGGUACUAACCUGCUCCAGAUACAGCAUCACUAGACAUAAUCAAGACUUGAGGAUCAGGGACCUUCCUAGUUCCAGCAGAAAAUUGGCUUUGUGUUUACUGACUCAACAGAGGGAUCCGUCAGGGCAGAAAAUAGAAAUUCACUGCAAUUCACUCUGGCUUUGUGUUUCCAAACCUCAGGCCCUUGAGAAAAUUUAGAGCACUUAAAGAACGGAAACAGACUUCAGCUUUGGUUCCACGGUACAGUAGUGAAGGGCUGUACGGAAAGAGCUGAAUCCCACAUGACUGACCACAAUGCAAAUUCAAGCCCAACAGCUUAAAAAACAUGCCAGCUCACGCACGUUCAGGGUUCAGGAUCCUGAUAGGAAGGAAGA